rnacentral:rRNA from 1 species
UACGUAGGCAGCGAGCGUUGUUCGGAGUUACUGGGCGUAAAGGGUGUGUAGGCGGUUGGUUAAGUUUGGUGUGAAAUCUCCCGGCUCAACUGGGAGGGUGCGCCGAAUACUGAAUGACUUCGAGUGUGGGAGAGGUGAGUGGAAUUCCUGGUGUAGCGGUGAAAUGCGCAGAUAUCAGGAGGAACACCGGUGGCGAAGGCGGAUCUCUGGGCCUUGCCUGACGCUGAGGCGCGAAAGCUAGGGGAGCGAACAGG